rnacentral:rRNA from 1 species
UACGGAGGGGGCUAGCGUUGUUCGGAAUACUGGGCGUAAAGGCGCGCGGCUAGGCGUCUUAUAAGUCGGGGGUGAAAGCCUGUGGCUCAACCACAGAAUUGCCUUCGAUACUGUAGAGCUUGAGACCGGAAGAGGUAAGUGGAACUGCGAGUGUAGAGGUGAAAUUCGUAGAUAUUCGCAAGAACACCAGUGGCGAAGGCGGCUUACUGGUCCGGUUCUGACGCUGAGGCGCGAAAGCGUGGGGAGCAAACAGG